AUCUGGCAUUAUUUAUCGAGAAUGUUGGAGGCUACAAAAAAUUAUACAAAUUAAACAAAGUUUAUUGAAAAAACUAUUACACUAUACCCACGCAGAAAGUCCACUAUUUUAUUUGAAAUACAUUAAACUUUCCGCUUAGAUGAAACGAAAUAGUAUAUUACGUUCUAAAGGAACCAAGUGACAAUCUUACCUCCGAAUCACUAUCGGAAUCUUGCAUCAUGUCUGAAGAUAGCGACUCACUCUCAUUAUCGUCAAUCAUUUCCGUAAAUGUUGACAGUUUUCUGGUCAUCUGUGCUGUUCUCCCAAGUAUCAGUUUCCUGGUCAUCUAUCGAGCUACCCAUAAAAAAAAUUGCUGAUUCAUCAUUGUCUCUAUAUAGGAUGAAUUUCUGGAAUACUAGAAAACAUAUUACAAUCGGACCUGAAAUAUUUGUAGGAGAUAAUUCUAGAAACAUUUGAACCCGUUCUGCACUAUAAGUUCACACUGUAAAUUUAGAUUUUUGGGAAAAAACUUCGAAAAGUCGGAAUUUGCAGUGUUAACUAUGUGAGCUACAUAGUUUAUUCAAGAAAAUAUCAACGAAAUUCAUCAUACUUACUGGCUCGCACGGAAAAAUAAGAACACGCCUAUUUCCAUUCGCUACACCGACACAGAACCUUAAGCUACCUUCUUUAAAUUGUUGAUCAUCGUAAAUGGACAUCAUCAUCUUAAAAUUACAAGUGUUUGAUAUUUAGCUGGUAGUGGUAUUGCUAAAAAUCUUUCAUAAUCAGCCUUUCCGUGAAUUGUGAGAUGUAAAGCUGCGUACACUGGUGAAAAAAUGAAGUUAUUUUUUUCAUAUUGAAACAUAAAACAAUACGCAAAAAUGUAACAAAUAUGAAAAAUUAAUUUAGUAUGGGUUCAUUGCUCUCCCUUCUCAUCUUUUGUUCAGAAAUAAUAAAAAAAUAUGAGGAAAAUUGAUUAGAAGAGAUAAAAAAAAGUACCGAAUGUUAACAAAAACAUUGUUUCAGCAAUGAUUAAAAAUUCACGUUGGGAAAUUCAUAUUUUUUCAUAUUUCUUCUCAUAUGAGAUUUGAAUAUAAAAAAAAAAUGAAAAAUUUAUAAAAAUAAAGAACUAUUUUUACCAGAGAAAAUUUCACUACUGAUGAUAAUACUAAAAGCAGCAAGAGCUACGACUAAUACUUGAGAAACCAUAGUGGUACAAUGAAUUUAAGAAACUCACUUGCCCAUUAUUUUUCUCUACCUUUUAUGUAUUGAUACAAUCGUCAAAUAACAUACGAAAAAGACUACAUCCUGUAAUUUUCUUUUCAAUCGAUCAACAAUUUUAUCUGCAAAUCUAGGAUCAUUGUUACAGACAUUUUUUUUUGAUAUUAACAAUAAGUUUCGAUAAUUAUACCAGAACUAAUUAUUUCAUUUUUAGAAUUUUCUGUUCAACUAAAAAGAAUUUGCGUGUUAGAGCUUUUAUGAAGCCCACUGAUCGCGGAUAAAAAUUAGAUACCCAAUAUAAACAAUUAAAUAUUUCUAUAAAAAUAUAACAUAAAAGAUUCGUAAUACAAUCAUUUGUAAUAC
rnacentral:lncRNA from 1 species